rnacentral:rRNA from 1 species
UUGUCCUUAGUUGCUACGCAAGAGCACUCUAAGGAGACUGCCGGUGACAAACCGGAGGAAGGUGGGGAUGACGUCAAGUCCUCAUGGCCCUUAUGGGUAGGGCUUCACACGUCAUACAAUGGUCGGAACAGAGGGUUGCCAAGCCGCGAGGUGGAGCCAAUCCCAGAAAACCGAUCGUAGUCCGGAUCGCAGUCUGCAACUCGACUGCGUGAAGCUGGAAUCGCUAGUAAUCGCGGAUCAGCAUGCC